CAAUAGCGUAUAUUAAAGUUGUUGCGGUUAAAAAGCUCGUAGUUGGAUUUCUGCCGAGGACGACCGGUCCGCCCUCUGGGUGAGUAUCUGGCUCGGCCUGGGCAUCUUCUUGGAGAACGUAGCUGCACUUGACUGUGUGGUGCGGUAUCCAGGACUUUUACUUUGAGGAAAUUAGAGUGUUUCAAGCAGGCUUACGCCUUGAAUACAUUAGCAUGGAAUAAUAAGAUAGGACCUCGGUUCUAUUUUGUUGGUUUCUAGAGCUGAGGUAAUGAUUAAUAGGGAUAGUUGGGGGCAUUCGUAUUUAACUGUCAGAGGUGAAAUUCUUUGAUUUGUUAAAGACGGACUACUGCGAAAGCAUUUGCCAAGGAUGUUUNCAUUG
rnacentral:rRNA from 1 species